ACGGCGGCCGGCCGGUGAUAGCCGUGGUCGGCGAGCGUUCCGCCGCGGCCCGGCGCGACCAGCUGUCGUGGUUCGAGUCCAAGCCGCUGUUC
rnacentral:tRNA from 1 species